UUUAGACCCGUAGCAGAUAGCUCAGUAACACGUGGCCAAACUACCCUAUGGAUCCGGAUAACCUCGGGAAACUGAGGCUAAUCCGGAAUAGGAUUCUCAGGCUGGAACUGCCGAGAAUUCGAAACGCCCCGGCGCCAUAGGAUGUGGCUGCGGCCGAUUAGGUAGACGGUGGGGUAACGGCCCACCGUGCCAGUAAUCGGUACGGGUUGUGAGAGCAAGAGCCCGGAGACGGUAUCUGAGACAAGAUACCGGGCCCUACGGGGCGCAGCAGGCGCGAAACCUUUACACUGCACGCCAGUGCGAUAAGGGGACUCCAAGUGCGAGGGCAUAUAGUCCUCGCUUUUCUGUACCGUAAGGUGGUACAGGAAUAAGGGCUGGGCAAGACCGGUGCCAGCCGCCGCGGUAAUACCGGCAGCCCAGUGAUGACCGCUAUUAUUGGGCCUAAAGCGUCCGUAGCUGGCCACGCAAGUCCAUCGGGAAAUCUGUCCGCUUAACGGGCAGGCGUCCGGUGGAAACUGCGUGGCUUGGGACCGGAAGACCUGAGGGGUACGUCCGGGGUAGGAGUGAAAUCCCGUAAUCCUGGACGGACCACCGGUGGCGAAAGCGCCUCAGGAAGACGGAUCCGACGGUGAGGGACGAAAGCUCGGGUCACGAACCGGAUUAGAUACCCGGGUAGUCCGAGCUGUAAACGAUGUCUGCUAGGUGUGACACAGGCUACGAGCCUGUGUUGUGCCGUAGGGAAGCCGUGAAGCAGACCGCCUGGGAAGUACGUCCGCAAGGAUGAAACUUAAAGGAAUUGGCGGGGGAGCACUACAACCGGAGGAGCCUGCGGUUUAAUUGACUCAACGCCGGACAUCUCACCAGCAUCGACAGUAGCAAUGAAGAUCAGCCUGAUGAGCUUAUUGGAGCUACUGAGAGGAGGUGCAUGGCCGCCGUCAGCUCGUACCGUGAGGCGUCCUGUUAAGUCAGGCAACGAGCGAGACCCGCACUCCUAAU
rnacentral:rRNA from 1 species